UCAGAACGAACGCUGGCGGCGUGCCUAACACAUGCAAGUCGAACGGUAACAGGUCCUUCGGGACGCUGACGAGUGGCGCACGGGUGAGUAACGCGUGGAUAUCUGCCUAUUAGUGGGGGACAACUACAGGAAACUGUAGCUAAUACCGCAUAAUCUCUACGGAGGAAAGCAGGGGACCUUUCGGGGCCUUGCGCUGAUAGAUGAGUCCGCGUCUGAUUAGCUAGUUGGUAAGGUAAAAGCUUACCAAGGCGAUGAUCAGUAACUGGUUUGAGAGGAUGAUCAGUCACACUGGAACUGAGACACGGUCCAGACUUCUACGGAAGGCAGCAGUGGGGAAUUUUGCACAAUGGGCGCAAGCCUGAUGCAGCGAUGCCGCGUGUGGGAAGAAGGCUUUCGGGUUGUAAAGCACUUUCAAUUGGGAAGAAGAGAUGAGGCUUAAUAAGCUUCUGAUUUGACGGUACCUUUAGAAGAAGCACCGGCUAAUUUCGUGCCAGCAGCCGCGGUAAUACGAAAGGUGCAAGCGUUGUUCGGAAAUUACUGGGCGUAAAGCGUGCGUACGCGGUUUGUUAAGUGAGAUGUGAAAUCCCGGGGCUCAACCUCGGAACUGCAUUUCAAACUGGCAAGCUAGAGUACUGUAGAGGGUGGUGGAAUUUCCAGUGUAGCGGUGAAAUGCGUAGAGAUUGGAAGGAACAUCAGUGGCGAAGGCGGCCACCUGGACAGAUACUGACGCUGAGGCACGAAAGCGUGGGGAGCAAACAGGAUUAGAUACCCUGGUAGUCCACGCCGUAAACGAUGUCAACUAACUGUCUUUAGACUUGAGCUGUGGGUAGUGAACCUAACGCGAUAAGUUGACCGCCUGGGGAGUACGGCCGCAAGGUUAAAACUCAAAUGAAUUGACGGGGGCCCGCACAAGCGGUGGAGCAUGUGGUUUAAUUCGAAUAUACGCGAAGAACCUUACCUAGCCUUGACAUAUUUUAGAACACACCAGAGAUGGAGUGAUGCCUUCGGGAGCUAAUUUACAGGUGCUGCACGGCUGUCGUCAGCUCGUGUCGUGAGAUGUUGGGUUAAGUCCCGCAACGAGCGCAACCCUCGUGUCUAGUUACUAACAGUUCGGCUGAGGACUCUAGACAGACUGCCUUCGUAAGGAGGAGGAAGGUGAGGACGACGUCAAGUCAUCAUGGCCCUUACGGCUAGGGCAACACACGUGCUACAAUGGAUAGGACAGUGAGAAGCGAUACCGCGAGAGUAAGCUAAUCUCAGAAAGCCGAUCUUAGUCCGGAUUGGAGUCUGCAACUCGACUCCAUGAAGUUGGAAUCGCUAGUAAUCGCGGAUCAGAAUGCCGCGGUGAAUACGUUCCCGGGCCUU
rnacentral:rRNA from 1 species